GUUUCCAGUGCUGCUUAUGAAGACUUGAAAGCAGACUAUUCACAUGCUACAGAUAUGAGAAGUGAAUCAUCAAGGAUCACAGCUGAAAGCUUUGAAGAGGUUGAUAUGGUUGGGGUACACAACCAGCAGUGGAAUAACUGGAGAGGAGGGUUGAAGCAAAAAUGAGGAGUGUACCUGUUGGCUGUGGUUACUAUCUUGGACUGUGCACUACUUUGACCGAAUUUACACAGCUUCUGGAUAGAAUCUGCUCUACUCUGCCUCCAGCCUUGGUAAGGUAGGGCAUUAUAGGAAGAGAGAUUUCGGUUUCUGGAAGACAAGUAAUGAUGUGGAAGGAGGAGGAAGACAAACUUGGUCAUCUAAGAAUGCAAGUUCCCAAGUGAAACUCCAGAAAGACAAGAGAGAGGUAAAGGUGUAUUAUAUGUAGAAGAUUAGAGUUAAAAGUGUCUGGUUUAUGGGAAUAAGAAUUACUUCCUUCCAGGGAUGGUUAUGCAUGUACAUGUAGUACAAUGUCCCAAUGCAUCUGAAUUCACUCUAGACUGCAAAUGGGCCCAAAGGUGAUAUUUGG
rnacentral:lncRNA from 1 species